GUGCCAGCCGCCGCGGUAAUACGUAGGUGGCAAGCGUUAUCCGGAAUUAUUGGGCGUAAAGCGCGCGUAGGCGGUUUUUUAAGUCUGAUGUGAAAGCCCACGGCUCAACCGUGGAGGGUCAUUGGAAACCGGAAAACUUGAGUGCAGAAGAGGAAAGUGGAAUUCCAUGUGUAGCGGUGAAAUGCGCAGAGAUAUGGAGGAACACCAGUGGCGAAGGCGACUUUCUGGUCUGUAACUGACGCUGAUGUGCGAAAGCGUGGGGAUCAAACAGGAUUAGAUACCCUGGUAGUCAAGGGCG
rnacentral:rRNA from 1 species